UUGAAAGGGAAACGAUUGAAGUCAGUCGUACCUGCGGGUAAUCAGCCUUUUGGGCAUGAUUCUGUGGAGCGUGAGGAGUUAAACGCCUUCAUGCCUGCAUAUUCGUGUACUUUGGGUGUACUUGCCUGUGUGGUUAGUUAACAUCAAUUCUGGUUAUCAUAAAAUGGUUGGAGGAAUGUAGCUUCGAUUUCGAUUGAAGUGUUAUAGCCUUCGGCAGAUGUGAUGAUUGGGAUUGAGGAUUGCAACGGAUACCCUUCGGGGCUACCUGUCUGAUCUCUGAUCGUUGCUCUGGUGCCGAAAGCGUGCUUACGGUUAUCAAAGUCGAUGGUCAAUAGGUUAGAACGGGUUAAAUUCGUUAAGGAUGUUGACGUA
rnacentral:rRNA from 1 species